UACGUAGGUGGCAAGCGUUGUCCGGAUUUACUGGGCGUAAAGAGCGCGCAGGCGGUCGUUCAAGUCGCGUGUGAAAGCCCCCGGCUCAACUGGGGAGGGUCACGCGAUACUGAUCGACUGGAAGGCAGGAGAGGGUAGUGGAAUUCCCGGUGUAGUGGUGAAAUGCGUAGAUAUCGGGAGGAACACCAAUGGCGAAGGCAGCUCGCUGGGACGUUACUGACGCUGAGACGCGAAAGCGUGGGGAGCAAACAGGG
rnacentral:rRNA from 1 species